AGCAGCCGCGGUAAUUCCAGCUCCAAUAGCGUAUAUUAAAGUUGCUGCAGUUAAAAGCUCGUAGUUGAAUUUCGGGACUAAUAUGUCGGUCGUGCCUCGGUACGUACUGGUUUAUUGGUUUCUCCUUUCUGAAGAACCAUGAUGUCAUUUAUUUGGUGUCGUGGGGAAUCAGGACUGUUACUUUGGAAAAAUUAGAGUGUUUAAAGCAGGCUCACGCUUGAAUACAUUAGCAUGGAAUAAUGAAAUAGGACGUUUGAUUCUAUUUUGUUGGUUUCUAGGAUCGACGUAAUGAUUAAUAGGGAUAGUUGGGGGCAUUAGUAUUCAAUUGUCAGAGGUGAAAUUCUUGGAUUUAUUGAAGACUAACUACUGCGAAAGCAUUUGCCAAGGAUGUUUUCAUUAAUCAAGAACGAAAGUUAGGGAUCGAAGACGAUCAGAUACCGUCGUAGUCUUAACCAUAAACUAUGCCGACUAGGGAUCGGAUGAUGUUAAUUUUUAAUGUACUCAUUCGGCGCCUUAACC
rnacentral:misc_RNA from 1 species